GGGCUUGUGGUGCAACGGAUAGCACAACCGGCUUCGGACCGGUUAAUCAGGGUUCGAUUCCUUGCAAGCCCA
rnacentral:tRNA from 1 species